CGACAUACAGAUGUCAAUUUAUUCUCCCUUCCAGGUCAACAGUAUUGACUCAAUCACACAUUCGUAUUGAUACCAAUUCCCUUGUAAACUGUUCCACCACAAGACUUAUCUAUCUGAUUACAUGUAGUUGUGGAGUUCAAUACAUCGGAAAAACAUUCCAACAAUUUAGGCGUAGGAUCUUACAACAUGUCAAUUCCAUCAACAAUACUGUCACCCCCACUCCAGUAGCAAGACACCUCUUAAAUUUUCAUGAUGGGAAGCCAGAGAACUUACGAUUUCAGGCUAUCGAAAAAUUGCUGCCCAAUCCUAGAAAAGGCAAUUUUAAUAGAAUUCUGUUGCAAAAAGAAUGUAAAUGGAUCUUUGCCUUUAAGACUCUGGCCCCUCGAGGG